GUGUCACCAGGAAGUGAGAACAGGCAUUUGCAUGGCACUGAUGUAGACGGCAUUGCAAGAACUGGUCACAGAAUUCCAGCAGCGGUUGCACCAGUUACAGAUACAUCCAAGGAUCACAUUAGCCCUUUUGGCCUCCGUGUAACACUGGGAGCUCCACCAUGACCCCCAAGUCCCCAUCCUGUCAGCCUGGGAGCUGGGACAUCCAGAAAUAGAUCAUGAUGCUCAUUAGCAACAGGUUAUGGUAAAUACACGCUUCCUUGUGUACCACUCCAACCGCCACUGGGCUCGGCGUUACCUUGUGUAAUUGAUGCACUCCCAAGUCUCUACAGUGUGCCCUUUCCAGGAGAGGUUGGGGCAUGGAAGUGAAUGGACUGGCUGAGACUCAGUUCAGAGAAGACAAAGGUUAUGUGGUUGGGUUGAGGGAAGCAACCAAAAGUUAUGACAAAAAUUGUAUCUGUUCCACCCCCUGGAGGUGUCUCCAAGGAGCGGAAUCUGGGUAGAGCCCCAGUUAUUGUGAGAUGGUUAUUGCUCAGCAAAGCCAAGAUGUCUUUCUAUCAUUCUCGCUGACUAGGAAGUUGUAACCAUGCUCUGUGUUCAUCCUUGGCUGCCUGUUGGUUUACAGGCGGAGUUCAAGGUGUGGUAAUGACAUAGAAAGCCCUAAAUAGCCUGGGCCCUUCCUACCUGUGAGACACCUCUCUUCCCAUUUGCUACUGCUGCAGCCGAGCUCCACAGAGGUGUUCCAGCCAACCCCACCAGUGCACAGGACAGGGAGCUGCUGGCUGUUCUGCAUGAGGGCAUCUUUCCUUCGGGGGGCACUCUCCUUGGUCCAAAAUAGCCCAGAACUGUUAACUCUGAAGACGUCCUGCAAGGCUUCUGAGAGCAUGAGUGUUGCCUGAGGGACAAUGUGCCAGCCAGGGAAAUGGGGAACUUCUUCCUUUGGGGCCCACGGCAGUUGGGUUUUUUUGGGGGGGGCUGCUGUCUACUUCCUUUUCCAUUGACCACAUCAGUCUCUUGUGUCUGAAUGAAUUGUCAGAGGCAGGUAGAGUGCUAGAGCAGAGCCUCCUGGCCUUUUAGGAAUCCCCUUCACAAUGGGUCGCUAAAAGCCCCCUCCAGGAUCUGUAGGUUUCUUUACUUGCACUGACCUCACUGCAAGAUUUCAUUGUCCGGAGAACAGUGUUAUACCAGGUAUUACGGGCCUGGGGAUUUAAACCCCUCAGCCCAUUAUGGCCCUGGGAAAAUAUGCCUCUGUCCCUACACAGCCACAACAAAUAUGACCGAGCCAAUCUUCCCGUUUGUAAGGCCCGAGUGGUGAGCACAUUGGUCUGGGCCCAUUUGAAUCCCUGCCCCAAAAGUUUGAAGCUAGUUUGCACAGCGGUCAGGGUGCAUCCCAGUGCGGGCAGACAGACGCCGUGGCUCCUCUCGAGCUAGUGGGUAGAAAGAGCAGCGUGACCACAGCAGCAUAGGCAGCGGCUCGACCGAGGUGCCCAAGUACAAACCUACCCGGCCCCCGGAGCACACCCUAAGGUGACUGCCGAAGCCACCGCCCAGACCACCAUGACCACGCUGCUAUUCUUAGCACGCUACCUCCAGCACAUCCGGUACUGCGUGUCUAUCUGCGCAAGGAUGCCCCCUCCCAGCUGUGAUUCUCUGCAGCCACCGGCAGUGAGGUGUGGUUUGCAGCAGGUCCCAGUGUUAAGGUGUGGUGCCAUCAGGCCCCGGGUUAGGAGAGUGCGGGGCAGGGCCUGUAGGACACAGCAGGACUCUGGCCAAGCCCCUUUGGAGAGAGCAGGGCUGUGGGUAACUGCCCUGGGGCCCAGCAGGGCUCUGGGUGGGCGCCUUGGGGCAGGG